UUGUGGAAUGCUGAGAAAGGAACAGGCUAUGGCCUAAUGCUUGCUUGGACCAGUAUAAGCAUGCCAGGGCAAAUAUUCAGGCUAAAUUGCAGGAGCUAAGAACGAAAUUUUCCAAUUGAGUGACUGCAGUUCCCACUCUAAAAUCAGGCGUACAAGAGAGCACACAACUCUUCAAGGAUACUGGUGCUCCCCUCACAAAAGUAUUUCACAAAGUAUUGGUGAACGGUGUGUAUUCUGAACCCUCCCAGUUGAGAAUUUCAGCCCUUUGUCUACUGAAGAGAAGAUUUUCACCCAGGGCACACUUGGAAACUUUCAGGUUAUGUAUGUGCUUCUGGAGCCAGGAGCUAGAAUCCCUGAACUCAUCCCUUUUUUUCACCACUUUGUCCAGUAAACGUAGGAGCAAUCAACCAACUUCAUUAUAUUCUUGGGUUCUCCACGAAUGUUCAAAGAGAAGCCAUUUAGAUUUUACAGAAAUGUAGCUCCUCAUAUAUUAUAUUGUUCCUAUGAAGAAUUAGAUUGAAUAAAGCUGCUUUGAAUAAAGCUCGUAUUACCAGGCUACAACUGUGUGCUGCAUGAUCUAGAAAAAAAUGCGCUAGCAACUAAAAACUUAACUGUGAAAAGUAUUGCCUUUUUCUUUAAAAUCUCUUAAAAAUCUCACGUGAUUUGCUAGUACUCUUUCUGAUAAUAUAGAAAGCAAAAUAAUUCUGCUGUGAAAACAAGCAAAAUUUUUUCUAAUAUACAACAGCUGAGUGCAUCACUGUCUUUACAAAGAAUCCACUCCUUCUCUAGUCACAGUACCACAUGUGAUGGAAAGAAUCCAAGUUAAACACUCUCACCAGAGCAUGCUCCAAGACAGAUGACUGAGCCCCAGGCUUGGCCAAUACAAUGCACUUCUAUUCUCUAUUUAUUUUUGUAGUUCAAAGACCUGGCAGUAACCCACUUGAUGCCUGCCAUAAGGACCAGUACACUCCUGAUUACUGCCCAGCGAUUUAAUAUCUGUAUGCCAGCUACUCAGACCACGUAUAAAGACUAGGGGGAUUUUUUGAAAGGAAAAGAAACCCCAGCUUCCACUUAUACUUUGAAAUUUCAGAUGAUAUACUGCCAACUUACAGACCUUGCUUUAAUCAGCAGCCACAUGAAAAGGCUGUUUCUAUUUACUCUAGGUCAUUUAGGAAACAAGCAAUAAGUAGGCCGUGCAAAAUUUCAGCUUCUCUUAAAGUUGGCAUGUUUUCCUCAAAUAGAGAGUUGAAUCUUGAUUUCAUUUUCUGAGUAGAAAUAUUUACAAUCCUGUCAUACAUGAAGUUUAGCCUUCCUUCUGUCUAACAACAAAUAGGCUUUUUAAAGAAUGCUUAGUGUUAAACUGGAGGCUGUUUUGUAAAGGUGGGUCUGUAUAGAUUUGAAUAAUGACUACGCUGCUUUAUUGCUCUAGUUAAAAUUUCAUCAAAUACUAACUUUAGCUGGAAGAAGAUAAUUUAAGCCCAUCCUAUUUUAGUUUUAAAUUGUGUAUAUAUAAAAAGGUAAUCUUGCAGAACAUAAAGUAACAACUACAAUAUUCAGAAAUUCAUUAAUAUUAGAAAGAUAAAAAAUGAUUAGGG
rnacentral:lncRNA from 1 species